rnacentral:tRNA from 1 species
UAGCUCAGUUGGUAGAGUGCUUGCCUCAUAUGCACAAAGUCCUGGGUUCAAGCCCCAG